CCAAAAGCGCACGUUAUGUAAAUAGGCAGGUCAGAUAGGCAGGUCUUAAAAACAUAUAGCCCAGGGGCCUCAGGUGGUAUUAAGGCGCCCUGGUUACAGCCUCUGGAAAAAAGCUGUACCUAAGCCUGCUGGUGCUCCUGUAUCACCUGCCAGACGGGAGUAGACUCAAAAGACCAUGGUUUGGGUGGGUGGCAUCCUUGACAUUGGAUUUGGCUUUGUUUUUAUUGCGUUUAUGAUAGUGUUUAUCACAUGUGUCGUGGAUGGAGGGGAGUUGAGAGUCAAUAGUCUUUUGGGCUGAUUUGGGCUGCCUUGCGAUCAGCAGCGUUUCAGUUGCCAUACCAUACAGAGAUGCAGUUAGUGAGUAUGCUCUCAAUGGUACAACGGUAGAAGUUAGAAUCCUAGGACAUAGGUGUGCUUUCUUCAGGGUUCGUAGAAAGUGAAGGCGCUGAUGCACAAUUAUCUCCUUGGUCUUCUGGGUAUUGAGUGCCAGGUUAUUGUUUUUGCACCACAUAGCUAGGUGCUGAACCUCAUCUCGCUGUUUCAUCCUCCUCAUUGAUCAGGCCCACCACUGUGGUGUCAUCUGCGAACUUGAUUAUAGCAUUGGAGACAUAAACAGGGGCGCAGUCGUGGGUGAAGAGGGAGUAGAGCAGAGGGCUCAACACACAGCCCUGCGGCACGCCAGUGUUCUGGGUGAUGGUGGAGGAGGAGAGACGUCCUAAUUUAACAGUCUGGGGUCUGUUAGUAAGGAAGUCCAUAAUCCAGUUGCAGAAUGAGUUGCUGAUGCCAAGCUGGCCGAGCUUGGAGAUCAGCUUGGAGGGGAUCACAGUGUUGAAUGCUGAACUGAAGUCAAUGAACAGCAUUCUAACAUAUGUAUUGGGAAUGUCUAGAUGGGUAAGUGCCAGAUGGAGCGCUGUGGAGAUGGCAUCCUCUGUUGAUCUGUUGCGUCGGUAGGCAAAUUGAUACGGGUCCAUUGUUGCAGACAGACAUGAUUUCAGCUGUGAGAGGACCAGCCUCUCAAAACAUUUCGCAAUAAUGGGUGUCAGUGCAACCGGGCGGAAGUCGUUCAGUUCUUUGGCUGUGGACUGUUUAGGCACCGGAACAAUAGUGGCAGAUUUAAGACUGUUGAGUGGGCCAGAGACAUGUUAAAGAUGUUGGUGAAGACACCAGUCAACUGCUCCGAGCAGGAUCGCAACACACGUCCGGGAACUCCAUCAGGGCCAGCAGCUUUCCGAGCAUUCACUCUGCCGAGGACUCUGAGGUGGAAAAUUGGAGUGGGCAUGCGACACGAGAGUUUGAUCAGGCACAAGGAGGCAGGAGGGAGAGGAGGAAACACACAGGCAGCACGCCACCGGGAAAAGAGGGCUGGAGUGGGGUGCCGCGUCUGGAGAACGGGGCCUGAAGCCUGAUUCCACGCAUUUUAAAGCUAAGUAAAGGAAAGUCCAUCUGCCGAUAGCGAAGUGAGAGUGGGAUAUGAGUGUUAUCUGCUUGCGACUUAGGAGCUCUCCCUCUCUUCUAGUGUGCGGCUGUAACCUACGCAGUGAGCCUGCCUGCAACCGCAAGACAACGUGACGCCAACGGCCGGAUGAGUUUAGUUCAACACACACUAAAGCUAAGUAAAGGAAAGUUGGUUUACCUGCGUGCGUGUGUAUAUAAUAAUUGUCUACUGGGGUGCGACGGAGACUGAGAGCCUCUUUUUGUUGUCCUUAGAGUGUCAGAGUGACUGGGGCCUGCCUGUAAAAGUAAGACGACGUGGCGCCGGCUGCCAUAUGUGGAGUUUCACCCUACGUUCGCUAUUGACAGGGUGUUUCGGAAUGACUGGAGACUAAACGGACAUGACACCAUAUGCCUAAUUUCCCUAUUGAACUCUGGGAGUUUUAUCUUUAGCCCUGUGCCAUUGGACUGAAUGUUUUAUGGACUCUUUGUGAUAUAAUGUGCAUAUUUUAUGGGGGAUGUGUUGUGUAAAUUUAAUAAAUUGUGAAACGGUCUUUCCAUUC